AGUGAACGCUGGCGGUAGGCCUAACACAUGCAAGUCGAACGGCAGCACAGGAGAGCUUGCUCUCUGGGUGGCGAGUGGCGGACGGGUGAGGAAUACAUCGGAAUCUACUCUGCCGUGGGGGAUAACGUAGGGAAACUUAUGCUAAUACCGCAUACGACCUACGGGUGAAAGCAGGGGAUCUUCGGACCUUGCGCGAUUGAAUGAGCCGAUGUCGGAUUAGCUAGUUGGCGGGGUAAAGGCCCACCAAGGCGACGAUCCGUAGCUGGUCUGAGAGGAUGAUCAGCCACACUGGAACUGAGACACGGUCCAGACUCCUACGGGAGGCAGCAGUGGGGAAUAUUGGACAAUGGGCGCAAGCCUGAUCCAGCCAUACCGCGUGGGUGAAGAAGGCCUUCGGGUUGUAAAGCCCUUUUGUUGGGAAAGAAAUCCAGCUGACUAAUACCCGGUUGGGAUGACGGUACCCAAAGAAUAAGCACCGGCUAACUUCGUGCCAGCCGCCGCAGUAA
rnacentral:rRNA from 1 species